AGAUUAGAGUUUGAUCCUGGCUCAGAACGAACGCUGGCGGCAGGCCUAACACAUGCAAGUCGAGCGCUGUAGCAAUACAGAGCGGCGCACGGGUGAGUAACACGUGGGAACGUGCCCUUUGGUUCGGAAUAACCCAGGGAAACUUGGGCUAAUACCGGAUGAGCCCUAUCGGGGAAAGAUUUAUCGCCGAAGGAGCGGCCCGCGUUGGAUUAGCUAGUUGGUGGGGUAAAAGCCUACCAAGGCGACGAUCCAUAGCUGGUUUGAAAGAACGACCAGCCACACUGGGACUGAGACACGGCCCACACUCCUACGGGAGGCAAC
rnacentral:rRNA from 1 species